UACGGGGGGGGCAAGCGUUGUUCGGAAUUACUGGGCGUAAAGGGCUCGUAGGUGGCCAACUAAGUCAUACGUGAAAUCCCCCGGCUUAACCGGGGAACUGCGUCUGAUACUGGAUGGCUUGAGUUCGGGAGAGGGAUGCGGAAUUCCAGGUGUAGCGGUGAAAUGCGUAGAUAUCUGGAGGAACACCGGUGGCGAAGGCGGCAUCCUGGACCGAUACUGACGCUGAGGAGCGAAAGCCAGGGGAGCAAACGGG
rnacentral:rRNA from 1 species